rnacentral:rRNA from 1 species
CAGCCGCCGCGGUAAUACAGAGGGUGCAAGCGUUAAUCGGAAUUACUGGGCGUAAAGCGCGCGUAGGCGGCUUCUUAAGUCGGAUGUGAAAUCCCUGAGCUUAACUUAGGAAUUGCAUUCGAUACUGGGAAGCUAGAGUAUGGGAGAGGAUGGUAGAAUUCCAGGUGUAGCGGUGAAAUGCGUAGAGAUCUGGAGGAAUACCGAUGGCGAAGGCAGCCAUCUGGCCUAAUACUGACGCUGAGGUACGAAAGCAUGGGGAGCAAACAGGAUUAGAUACCCCUGUAGUCCCUGUCUCUUAUAC